AUUGAACGCUGGCGGCAUGCCUUACACAUGCAAGUCGAACGGCAGCACGGGUGCAAAGGGUAACCAAUGCGCCUGGUGGCGAGUGGCGAACGGGUGAGUAAAAUAUCGGAACGUACCCAGUAGAGGGGGAUAACUCGCUGAAAGGUGAGCUAAUACCGCAUACGCCCUGAGGGGGAAAGUGGGGGAUCGCAAGACCUCACGUUAUUGGAGCGGCCGAUAGCUGAUUAGCUAGUUGGAGGGGUAAAGGCCCACCAAGGCGACGAUCAGUAGCUGGUCUGAGAGGACGGCCAGCCACACUGGAACUGAGAGACGGACCAGACUCCUACGGGAGGCAGCAGUGGGGAAUUUUGGACAAUGGGGGCAACCCUGAUCCAGCAAUGCCGCGUGAGUGAAGAAGGCCCUCGGGGUUGUAAAGCUCUUUUUGUUGGGGAAGAAAAGGUGUUCGCUAAUAUCGGACACUAAUGACGGUACCCGAAGAAUAAGCACCGGCUAACUACGUGCCAGCAGCCGCGGUAAU
rnacentral:rRNA from 1 species